rnacentral:lncRNA from 1 species
AAGCAUUCAAAGAUUGGGAGGCAUUCGAAGAUUGGGAGCAUUCGAAGAUUGGGAGCAUUACAGAGAUCGUGAAGAGUAGAAGAUUUUUGAAGUGAAGAUCGAGCAACAACGAAGUUCAUGAUCAAGAUCAAGCGACAACAAAGUUCGUGAUCAAGAUCAAGCAGCAGCGAAGUUUGUCAACGAAGUUCGUGAUCAAGAUCAAGCAACAGCAAAGUUCAUGAUCAAGAUAUCAAGUGUUCGUGAUCAAGAUCAAGUCAUCAAGACCUAUGAAGUGAAGAUAUCAAGUGUUCGUGAUCAAGAUUAAGUCGUUAUGUCAUGACCCGAAACUCCCAUCGAGCCCUUGACAACCGCCGCGAAGCCUCGAC